rnacentral:misc_RNA from 1 species
CUCUUCUCAAUUCCCAAACCCUAAACCCAAACCCGAACACUAGAGCCAAAUCCCGACGCCGAUGGCAUAUCACGCCGGAGACAACGACGGCGACGGCCAAAACCGGCGGUUCUAUAAUCCAUACCAAGAUCUUCAAGUUCCAAUUCAGAAACUCUACAAACUCCCAACUUCCCCCGAAUUUCUCUUCAAAGAGGAAUCUCUCGCACAGCGCCGAUCGUGGGGAGAAAACCUAACGUUCUACACUGGCAUCGGUUAUCUCUCCGGUUCCGUCGUCGGGGCAGGUAAAGGAUUUAUUCAAGGCGUUAAAGCUUCUGAGCCUGGGGACACGUUGAAGCUCCGGAUUAACAGAAUAUUAAACGGGUCGGGUCACAAUGGUAGGAAGUUCGGGAAUCGAUUCGGAGUUAUUGGACUGAUGUAUGCGGGUUUAGAGAGUGGGAUGG